rnacentral:rRNA from 1 species
GACGAACGCUGGCGGCGUGCUUAACACAUGCAAGUCGAACGGAAAGGCCCUGCUUUUGUGGGGUGCUCGAGUGGCGAACGGGUGAUUAACACGUGAGUAACCUGCCCUUGACUUUGGGAUAACUUCAGGAAACUGGGGCUAAUACCGGAUAGGAGCUCCUGCUGCAUGGUGGGUGUUGGAAAGUUUCGGCGGUUGGGGAUGGACUCGCGGCUUAUCAGCUUGUUGGUGGGGUAGUGGCUUACCAAGGCUUUGACGGGUAGCCGGCCUGAGAGGGUGACCGGCCACAUUGGGACUGAGAUACGGCCCAGACUCCUACGGGAGGCAGCAGUGGGGAAUAUUGCACAAUGGGCGGAAGCCUGAUGCAGCAACGCCGCGUGCGGGAUGACGGCCUUCGGGUUGAAAACCGCUUUCGCCUGUGACGAAGCGUGAGUGACGGUAAUGGGUAAAGAAGCAACGGCUAACUACGUG